UACGAAGGGGGCUAGCGUUGUUCGGAAUCACUGGGCGUAAAGGGCGCGUAGGCGGGCUGCCAAGUCUGGGGUGGAAUCCCACGGCUCAACCGUGGAACUGCCUCGGAUACUGGCGGUCUCGAGGGAGGUAGGGGCAUGCGGAACUGUGGGUGGAGCGGUGAAAUGCGUUGAUAUCCACAGGAACUCCGGUGGCGAAAGCGGCGUGCUGGACCUCUUCUGACGCUGAGGCGCGAAAGCUAGGGGAGCAAACGGG
rnacentral:rRNA from 1 species